CCUACGGGCCGCACCAGUGGGGAAUAUUGGACAAUGGGCGAAAGCCUGAUCCAGCAAUGCCGCGUGUGUGAAGAAGGUCUUCGGAUUGUAAAGCACUUUCGACGGGGACGAUGAUGACGGUACCCGUAGAAGAAGCCCCGGCUAACUUCGUGCCAGCAGCCGCGGUAAUACGAAGGGGCUAGCGGUGCUCGGAAUGACUGGGCGUAAAGGGCGCGUAGGCGGUUGAUGCAGUCAGAUGUGAAAUCCCCGGGCUUAACCUGGGAACUGCAUUUGAGACGCAUUGACUAGAGUUCGAGAGAGGGUUGUGGAAUUCCCAGUGUAGAGGUGAAAUUCGUAGAUAUUGGGAAGAACACCGGUGGCGAAGGCGGCAACCUGGCUCGAUACUGACGCUGAGGCGCGAAGGCGUGGGGAGCAAACAGGAUUAGAUACCCGUGUAGUC
rnacentral:rRNA from 1 species